AUUUUUACAUAAAGCCUGCUAUUUGACCUAUGCAUUUGCUAUGCAUUUGACUAAACAUAGAAAAUGUUUCAUUUAAUUUGACAUUUUGUUGAACACCUGUGAUGGGCCAGGCACAGUGAUGGGGAUUGAGGAUCCAAAGAGGAAAAGAUCCCAUGUCUGCUAAAAAAGACUCAGAAUCCAGUAGGGAGACAGACACGCCACCAACAGAGCACAGGGUUUAUGGGAGCAGUGUGGAGGAUGCUGUGCCGGCCUUGGGGUGGGUCCCACAGAUGAACACUGAAAUGUGGUUUAUCUCCUCCCCAAUCUAGACAUCUUGGAGCUACACUGGUCCUUCUACUUUUAUUGUUUUUCACAGAUCAUCUUCACAUUUUUUCAUCAAAGAGAUGGCCUUCUGUCAACCAAAUGCUCAUAGAAUGCUCAUUUAAGAUGUUUUUGGGUCAAACUUUCACCUUAUAUUUUCUCUUUUCCCAACAUGAUAGGUCUCUUAUGUUGGAGAAGACUUUAUAUGAUCACUUGGACCAGUAAUUGCCAAUUCUGGAUGGUCACCAGAGGGUUCUUUAAAAACAGAACCAAGGUCUGCACUGCAUCUCCAAGCCUGCAGAGAAAUGAUGUGUGACAGCCCGCCUUGACAAAUCAGCACUGCUUACAGCCCUGCCACCAGAAUGCCUUCACUCUGUCCAACUUGAAUUCCCUUUAAAGCAAUGGAAGGAAUCUGCUUUCCAAGAUCCCUUCAGAAGGAAAGAUUUGCAUUGUUUAAAGGAGAAUAAAAAUCAGAUGUCUAAGAAAAAGGAAAAAGACAAAGUCUCCUUUCAAGAAGUAACAACUCUGCCAGCUUACUCAGGUCAUGAAAUAAUGCUGUUGGCAAUGACUUUGGGGUGUUCUGUCACAGUCUCAGUACACUUUCUCCCCCCUGGGCAGUAUUUUAUAGUUACUGCUUCUACGCCCCAUUGGCUCAGACAUAAUUUAUUAUUUGUUUACAUGUUUCACUUACUCUGCUAAGGUGGAAGUCCGGUGAUGCAUUAUUACUGACAGCAUCAGUGUGUGUGUGUGUGUGUCUGUGUGUGUCUAUUUGUGUGUCAUUGAAAGACUCAAGGAGAUCUGACGGGUUCUGAACCUGCAAGUUUUCAGAGCACAAGUGGCCCCCCCAGGUCUACAAGAGCCUCCCUGGGCUCUUGGCUCAGAUCAAAUGUGUCCUAUGUCCCUGUAGUUAGUUCCUUCUACUUCUCUGAGGACCAAGACAAUUCCAGGAAGACACAGGCUCCCCGGGACUGUGACUUUCUAUUCUCUCCUUUGACUUGUCUUCCUGUGUAGUGAUCAAAGUCCUCCCAUUUCUGGGGGGAACGUCACAGUUUACACAGCACUUUCUUCACGACAAUAGCAUGAAGAAAAUAAUACCUGCCCUUUAUCUCCACAUGAGACACAGACAGGUCAAGGACGUGUGCAAGUUCAAAGAGCAAGAGUGGAAUCCAGCCCGAACCAGCACCCCAUGAUGGAAGGGGAAUGACCGUGGCUGGCCCAGUCACUUACAGCUCUUUGACCAGGGGCAGCUCACGAAAAGCUCAGGUUCUUCACCUGCUAAAAGAUGGCAGUGAUAGUGCUUACUGCACAGGGCUGUUUUAGAAAUAAAAUAGAUUUCUAAAAGUGCUCAGCAAAAUGACUAGCAUGUAAUAAACGUGCAAUAAAUGCUACCAACAUUAAUGGUCUUUUCAAAGCAUUGUGUUUACAAAAGCUUUAGGGCUUAUAAUAAGAACGGUAGUAGGUGACUCUUUUGUAAUAUAAUAAUAAUAAUGAUAAUAAUAAAAUAAUAGGUGGC
rnacentral:lncRNA from 1 species